CUACAAUCAGACAACACACACACCAUACAGUCGGACAACACACACACCAUACAGCCAGCAGACACACAACAUGCAGCCAGCAGACACCAUGCUACAAUCGGACAACACACACACCAUACAGCCAGCAGACACACAACAUGCAGCCAGCAGACACCAUGCUACAAUCAGACAACACACACACCAUACAGCCAGCAGACACACAAUAUGCAGCCAGCAGACACCAUGCUACAAUCAGAC